rnacentral:rRNA from 1 species
UAUAAGCAUCUAUACAGUGAAACUGCGAAUGGCUCAUUAAAUCAGUUAUCGUUUAUUUGAUAGUACCUUACUACUUGGAUAACCGUGGUAAUUCUAGAGCUAAUACAUGCUAAAAAUCCCGACCUUCUGGAAGGGAUGUAUUUAUUAGAUAAAAAACCAAUGCCUUCGGGCUCCUUGGUGAUUCAUGAUAACUUAACGAAUCGCAUGGCCUUGCGCCGGCGAUGGUUCAUUCAAAUUUCUGCCCUAUCAACUUUCGAUGGUAGGAUAGUGGCCUACCAUGGUUUCAACGGGUAACGGGGAAUUAGGGUUCUAUUCCGGAGAGGGAGCCUGAGAAACGGCUACCACAUCCAAGGAAGGCAGCAGGCGCGCAAAUUACCCAAUCCCGACACGGGGAGGUAGUGACAAUAAAUACUGAUACAGGGCCCUUUCGGGUCUUGUAAUUGGAAUGAGUACGAUCUAAAAACUCUAACGAGGAACAAAUGGAGGGCAAGUCUGGUGCCAGCAGCCGCGGUAAUUCCAGCUCCAAUAGCGUAUAUUAAAGUUGUUGCAGUUAAAAAGCUCGUAGUUGAACCUUGGGCCGGGGCGGCGGGUCCGCCUCACCGCGUGCACUCGCCCGCCCUGGCCUUUCCUUCUGGCAAACCCCAUGCCCUUCACUGGGUGUGGCGGGGAACCAGGACUUUUACUUUGAAAAAAUUAGAGUGUUCAAAGCAGGCAUAUGCUCGAAUACAUUAGCAUGGAAUAAUAGAAUAGGACGUGUGGUUCUAUUUUGUUGGUUUCUAGGACCACCGUAAUGAUUAAUAGGGAUAGUCGGGGGCAUCCGUAUUCAGCUGUCAGAGGUGAAAUUCUUGGAUUUGCUGAAGACGAACUACUGCGAAAGCAUUUGCCAAGGAUGUUUUCAUUAAUCAGGAACGAAAGUUGAGGGAUCGAAGACGAUCAGAUACCGUCGUAGUCUCAACCAUAAACUAUGCCGACUAGGGAUCGGGCGAUGUUCUUAUUUUGACCCGCUCGGAACCUUACGAGAAAUCAAAGUCUUUGGGUUC